UACAGAGGUCUCAAGCGUUGUUCGGAUUCAUUGGGCGUAAAGGGUGCGUAGGUGGCGCUGUAAGUCGGGUGUGAAAUUUCGGAGCUUAACUCCGAAACUGCAUUCGAUACUGCGGUGCUUGAGGACUGGAGAGGAGACUGGAAUUCAUGGUGUAGCAGUGAAAUGCGUAGAGAUCAUGAGGAACACCAGUGGCGAAGGCGGCUCACUGGCCCGGUACUGACGCUGAGGUGCGAAAGCGUGGGGAGCAAACAGG
rnacentral:rRNA from 1 species